rnacentral:rRNA from 1 species
CUAGUUGGGUAUUGCCAUGGGCGCAGCCUGAUGCAGCCAUGCCGCGUGUGUGAAGAAGGCCUUCGGGUUGUAAAGCACUUUCAGUCAGGAGGAAAGGUUAGUAGUUAAUACCUGCUAGCUGUGACGUUACUGACAGAAGAAGCACCGGCUAACUCCGUGCCAGCAGCCGCGGUAAUACGGAGGGUGCGAGCGUUAAUCGGAAUUACUGGGCGUAAAGCGUACGCAGGCGGUUUGUUAAGCGAGAUGUGAAAGCCCCGGGCUCAACCUGGGAACUGCAUUUCGAACUGGCAAACUAGAGUGUGAUAGAGGGUGGUAGAAUUUCAGGUGUAGCGGUGAAAUGCGUAGAGAUCUGAAGGAAUACCGAUGGCGAAGGCAGCCACCUGGGUCAACACUGACGCUCAUGUACGAAAGCGUGGGGAGCAAACGGGAUUAGAUACCCCGGUAGUCCACGCCGUAAACGAUGUCUACUAGAAGCUCGGAGCCUCGGUUCUGUUUUUCAAAGCUAACGCAUUAAGUAGACCGCCUGGGGAGUACGGCCGCAAGGUUAAAACUCAAAUGAAUUGACGGGGGCCCGCACAAGCGGUGGAGCAUGUGGUUUAAUUCGAUGCAACGCGAAGAACCUUACCUACACUUGACAUACAGAGAACUUACCAGAGAUGGUUUGGUGCCUUCGGGAACUCUGAUACAGGUGCUGCAUGGCUGUCGUCAGCUCGUGUUGUGAGAUGUUGGGUUAAGUCCCGCAACGAGCGCAACCCCUAUCCUUAGUUGCUAGCAGGUAAUGCUGAGAACUCUAAAGGAGACUGCCGGUGAUAAACCGGAGGAAGGUGGGGACGACGUCAAGUCAUCAUGGCCCUUACGUGUAGGGCUACACACGUGCUACAAUGGCGCAUACAGAGUGCUGCGAACUCGCGAGAGUAAGCGAAUCACUUAAAGUGCGUCGUAGUCCGGGAUUGGAGUCUGCAACUCGACUCCAU